rnacentral:rRNA from 1 species
UCUGGUGCCAGCAGCCGCGGUAAUUCCAGCUCCAAUAGCGUAUAUUAAAGUUGUUGCGGUUAAAAAGCUCGUAGUUGGAAUUGUGUCCCACGCCGCUUGUCCGUCGCCCGUCGACGUGACUCGCGGUUGUGAGUGGGGCGUCAAGCCGGUGGUCGUGCAGGUGCGGGCUCCGUCUCAAUCACGUGGACCCUAACAGGUUUGCGUUGUGCGAGUCGGUCCCGUGGCCGGACACCAUGUUACCCGCCUCGGUGCUCUUAAUCGAGUGUCUUGGUGGGCCGGCUCGUUUACUUUGAACAAAUUAGAGUGCUUAAAGCAAGCUCACACGCUUGGAUGUUGCGUGCAUGGAAUAAUGAAAUAGGAUCUCGGUUCUAUUUUGUUGGUUUCACGAACUGGAGAUAAUGAUCAAUGGAGACGGACGGGGGCAUUGGUAUUGCGACGUUAGAGGUGAAAUUCUUGGAUCGUCGCAAGACUAACAGAAGCGAAGGCGUUUGCCAAGAACGCUCUCAUUAAUCAAGAACGAAAGUUAGAGGUUCGAAGGCGAUCAGAUACCGCCCUAGUUCUAACCAUAAACGAUGUCGACCAGCAAUCCGUCGGUGUUCCUCCGAUGACCCGACGGGCAGCUUCCGGGAAACCAAAGUGUUUGGGUUCCGGGGGAAGUAUGGUUGCAAAGCUGAAACUUAAAGGAAUUGACGGAAGGGCACCACCAGGAGUGGAGCCUGCGGCUUAAUUUGACUCAACACGGGAAACCUCACCAGGCCCGGACACUGGAAGGAUUGACAGAUUGAUAGCUCUUUCUUGAUUCAGUGGGUGGUGGUGCAUGGCCGUUCUUAGUUGGUGGAGCGAUUUGUCAGGUUAAUUCCGAUAACGAACGAGACUCUGGCCUGCUAACUAGUCGCUCUGUGCAUGAAGGUUCUGCCGGCGACCGUGGGGGCCCUAACAGGCUCCCGACUUCUUAGAGGGACUGGCGGCUUGUAGCCGCACGAGAUUGAGCAAUAACAGGUCUGUGAUGCCCUUAGAUGUUCUGGGCCGCACGCGCGCUACACUGAAGGCAUCAACGUGUGUGUAAUAUUUUCCUUGGCCGAAAGGUCCGGGUAACCCGCUGAAACGCCUUCGUGCUAGGGAUUGGGGAUUGCAAUUGUUCCCCAUGAACGAGGAAUUCCCAGUAAGCGCGAGUCAUAAGCUCGCGCUGACUACGUCCCUGCCCUUUGUACACACCGCCCGUCGCUACUACCGAUUGAAUGAUUUAGCGAGGUCUUUGGACCGUCGCGCGGCGGUUCGUCCGUCGUCGCUGUACGGGUAAGCUGAUCGAGCUUGGUUAUUUAGAGGAAGUAAAAUUCGUAACAAGGUUUCCGUAGGUGGAA